AUUCCAGCUCCAAUAGCGUAUAUUAAAGUUGUUGCAGUUAAAAAGCUCGUAGUUGGAGUUCAGAGUGAGCUCAGCUGGUCGGCCUAAUGGGUCAGAACUGGUUGACUCUCUCUUGUUUGUGGGUCUCGCCCGGAGUUAACUCUUCGGAUGUGGAUCCCACAUCGUUUACCUUGAAAAAAUUAGAGUGUUCAAAGCAGGCGUUUGCUUGAAUAUAUUAGCAUGGAAUAAUGGAAUAGGACGCUGGUUCUAUUUUGUUGGUUUUGAGAACCAGAGUAAUGAUUAAUAGGGACAGUUGGGGGCAUUCAUAUUUCAUUGUCAGAGGUGAAAUUCUUGGAUUUAUGAAAGAUGAACUUCUGCGAAAGCAUUUGCCAAGGAUGUUUUCAUCA
rnacentral:rRNA from 1 species